rnacentral:tRNA from 1 species
CUCUUGAUGGUCCAGUGGUUAGGACUUAGUACUUUUACUGCUGGGGCCCUGGGUUAAUCCCUGGUUGGGGGA